AGAAUCAACGCUGGCGGCGUGCCUAACACAUGCAAGUCGAACGCGAAAGGGGAGCAAUCCCUGAGUAGAGUGGCAAACGGGUGAGUAACACGUGGGUGACCUGCCUUCGAGUGGGGGAUAACGUCCCGAAAAGGGACGCUAAUACCGCAUGACAUCCUGCUUUUGGAAAAGCGGAGAUCAAAGCCGGGGAUUCGCAAGAACCUGGCGCUUGAAGAGGGGCCCGCGCCUGAUUAGCUAGUUGGUGAGGUAACGGCUCACCAAGGCUACGAUCAGUA
rnacentral:rRNA from 1 species